UACAUUGAUUUCCAACCUGAGUGGUUUAA
rnacentral:piRNA from 1 species